rnacentral:snRNA from 1 species
GUACUCGCUUCGGUGUUGCAUAUACUAAAAUUGAAACGAUACAGAGAAGAUUGGCAUGGCUCCUGCGCAAGGACGACACGCAAAAUCGUGAAGCAUUCCACAGAAGU